rnacentral:rRNA from 1 species
UGGGAAUAUUGGACAAUGGGCGCAAGCCUGAUCCAGCAAUGCCGCGUGAGUGAUGAAGGCCUUAGGGUUGUAAAGCUCUUUCGCACGCGACGAUGAUGACGGUAGCGUGAGAAGAAGCCUCGGCUAACUUCGUGCCAGCAGCCGCGGUAAUACGAAGGGGGCUAGCGUUGUUCGGAAUUACUGGGCGUAAAGGGCGCGUAGGCGGCCUGUUUAGUCAGAAGUGAAAGCCCCGGGCUCAACCUGGGAAUAGCUUUUGAUACUGGCAGGCUUGAGUUCCGGAGAGGAUGGUGGAAUUCCCAGUGUAGAGGUGAAAUUCGUAGAUAUUGGGAAGAACACCGGUGGCGAAGGCGGCCAUCUGGACGGACACUGACGCUGAGGCGCGAAAAGCGUGGGGAGCAAACAGAUUAGAUACCCUGGUAGUCCACGCCGUAAACGAUGAAUGCUAGACGUCGGGGUGCAUGCACUUCGGUGUCGCCGCUAACGCAUUAAGCAUUCCGCCUGGGGAGUACGGCCGCAAGGUUAAAACUUAAAUGAAUUGACGGGGUCAUAGCUGUUUCCU